AUGUAGAGCAAUCUAUCUUUAAGUUGAGGUAAAUUACUCUAUAAGAAAUGAAUCCUAGAUUGUUUUCCCUUCAAGUCAAGCAUCUUGU
rnacentral:pre_miRNA from 1 species